GACGAACGCUGGCGGCGUGCUUAACACAUGCAAGUCGAGCGGGUAAGGCCCUUUCGGGGGGUACACGAGCGGCGAACGGGUGAGUAACACGUGGGUGACCUGCCCUCAGCUCUGGGAUAAGCCCUGGGAAACCGGGUCUAAUACUGGAUAUGACUCCAUGACGCAUGUUGUGGGGUGGAAAGCCUUGUGCGGCUGAGGAUGGGCCCGCGGCCUAUCAGCUUGUUGGUGGGGUGANGGCCUACCAAGGCGACGACGGGUAGCCGGCCUGAGAGGGCGACCGGCCACACUGGGACUGAGACACGGCCCAGACUCCUACGGGAGGCAGCAGUGGGGAAUCUUGCGCAAUGGGCGAAAGCCUGACGCAGCGACGCCGCGUGAGGGAUGACGGCCUCGGU
rnacentral:rRNA from 1 species